CGUAUCACUUAAAGCGAUUCAGCGGGUUACGAUUGACGGAGCGAAGCGACGUCAAAGCGUAUACAAAGUCGAGUCGGUUUAAGGAUACGUUCGUUGGGUAGGGGAGCGUUCUGUAAGCCUGUGAAGGUGGCCUGUGAGGGUUGCUGGAGGUAUCAGAAGUGCGAAUGCUGACAUAAGUAACGAUAAAGCGGGUGAAAAGCCCGCUCGCCGGAAGACCAAGGGUUCCUGUCCAACGUUAAUCGGGGCAGGGUGAGUCGACCCCUAAGGCGAGGCCGAAAGGCGUAGUCGAUGGGAAACGGGUUAAUAUUCCCGUACUUGGUGUUACUGCGAAGGGGGGACGGAGAAGGCUAUGUUGGCCGGGCGACGGUU
rnacentral:rRNA from 1 species